rnacentral:rRNA from 1 species
UUAUGAGAGUUUGAUCCUGGCUCAGGACGAACGCUGGCGGCGUGCCUAAUACAUGCAAGUCGAACGCUUUUUCUUUCACCGGAGCUUGCUCCACCGAAAGAAAAAGAGUGGCGAACGGGUGAGUAACACGUGGGUAACCUGCCCAUCAGAAGGGGAUAACACUUGGAAACAGGUGCUAAUACCGUAUAACACUAUUUUCCGCAUGGAAGAAAGUUGAAAGGCGCUUUUGCGUCACUGAUGGAUGGACCCGCGGUGCAUUAGCUAGUUGGUGAGGUAACGGCUCACCAAGGCAACGAUGCAUAGCCGACCUGAGAGGGUGAUCGGCCACACUGGGACUGAGACACGGCCCAGACUCCUACGGGAGGCAGCAGUAGGGAAUCUUCGGCAAUGGACGAAAGUCUGACCGAGCAACGCCGCGUGAGUGAAGAAGGUUUUCGGAUCGUAAAACUCUGUUGUUAGAGAAGAACAAGGAUGAGAGUAAAACGUUCAUCCCUUGACGGUAUCUAACCAGAAAGCCACGGCUAACUACGUGCCAGCAGCCGCGGUAAUACGUAGGUGGCAAGCGUUGUCCGGAUUUAUUGGGCGUAAAGCGAGCGCAGGCGGUUUCUUAAGUCUGAUGUGAAAGCCCCC